rnacentral:rRNA from 1 species
UACGAAGGGGGCUAGCGUUGCUCGGAAUCACUGGGCGUAAAGCGCACGUAGGCGGGUCGUUAAGUCGGGGGUGAAAUCCUGGAGCUCAACUCCAGAACUGCCUUCGAUACUGGCGAUCUUGAGUCUGGGAGAGGUGAGUGGAACUCCGAGUGUAGAGGUGAAAUUCGUAGAUAUUAGCUAGAACACCAGUGGCGAAGGCGGCCAACUGGUCCGGUACUGACGCUGAGGUGCGAAAGCGUGGGGAGCAAACAGG